GACGAACGCUGGCGGCGUGCUUAACACAUGCAAGUCGAACGGAAAGGCCCCUUCGGGGGUACUCGAGUGGCGAACGGGUGAGUAACACGUGAGUAACCUGCCCUUGACUUCGGGAUAACUUCAGGAAACUGGGGCUAAUACCGGAUAGGAAUCCUUGCUGCAUGGGGGGGGUUGGAAAGCUUCGGCGGUUUUGGAUGGACUCGCGGCUUAUCAGCUUGUUGGUGGGGUAGUGGCUUACCAAGGCUUUGACGGGUAGCCGGCCUGGGAGGGCGACCGGCCACAUUGGGACUGAGAUACGGCCCAGACUCCUACGGGAGGCAGCAGGGGGGAAUAUUGCACAAUGGGCGGAAGCCUGAUGCAGCAACGCCGCGUGCGGGAUGACGGCCUUCGGGUUGUAAACCGCUUUCAGCAGGGGCGAAGCUUGUGGUGACGGUACCUGCAGAAGAAGCACCGGCUAACUACGUG
rnacentral:rRNA from 1 species